GCAGGCGGUUUGUUAAGCGAGAUGUGAAAGCCCUGGGCUCAACCUAGGAAUAGCAUUUCGAACUGACAAACUAGAGUCUUGUAGAGGGGGGUAGAAUUCCAGGUGUAGCGGUGAAAUGCGUAGAGAUCUGGAGGAAUACCGGUGGCGAAGGCGGCCCCCUGGACAAAGACUGACGCUCAUGCACGAAAGCGUGGGGAGCAAACAGGAUUAGAUACCCUGGUAGUCCACGCCGUAAACGAUGUCUACUCGGAGUUUGGUGUCUUGAACACUGGGCUCUCAAGCUAACGCAUUAAGUAGACCGCCUGGGGAGUACGGCCG
rnacentral:rRNA from 1 species